UUUAAUUCAAAGUCACUAGGCAACACUGAAGAUUUCCACUUAUUGCUUUUCAGUCCACAACAGGAAAAGGAAUAGAGUUGACAGGACUUCCCGCACUGUCCCUGGUAGCAGUUUAUGAGGGAACCAACCGCAGUAGACAUAGCACGCUUCAUCAAAGAUGCACCAGAUGCAGGCGCGGCACUGUCUCCAUCAUUGGUGAAAUGGGAUAUGAUUAGUGGACGGUCAUCACUUAGUAACUCACCAACACAAUUAGUGGCCCAUCUCUUCUCAUCUCCAAUGGUGGUCUCAGGAGGAAUGGUUGCAGUGCAGUCUUCAUGUCCUGGACAGGUCUGUUGCAUGUUGGCGGCUGAUGCUGGUUCAAUAUUUGCACCAAGAAACAUACCACGCAUACCCUCUGGUGUAAGACUGGUACCCAAGUGACCGACAGCCAUGGCCACAUUCAGCUGUGCAGCUCUUUCUUUAAGCUUCACGGUGACUGGUAAAGUGGCUCUUCUUAAAUUGGAUGGAAAGGAUCCAUGCCAGGCCUCCUUUUUCCUCCCCAUGCCGAUACCAAUCCAGUAGACCAUCACAGUCUGGAAACUUAUAGCUGCCUGUUUUUCUAAGAGAAACUCCAUUCUUUGAUGAUCGACUGAUGGACAAGCCUCAUCACCCCUACUGCUGAAGAACCCCUUGUCUUAAUCACCAGCCAUUAAUCAGUGAUCAGUGUUUUCAAAGCUCCAAUGUGAGGACUGGAAGAAAAAUCCCAAAAGAUUCGCCAAUUAGAUUACUGUCAUCUUUGAAUUUUUAAUUCUCCUGUAAUUUAUUUAAUCAUUAUUUGUUUGCUCAAUAAGUGUUACAUAUAAAUGUUAUUUUGGUAUUUUUUUAAAUUCAG